GUUAUCGUUUAUUUGAUAGUACCUUACUACUUGGAUAACCGUGGUAAUUCUAGAGCUAAUACAUGCUGAAAACCCCAACUUCGGGAGGGGUGUAUUUAUUAGAUAAAAAACCAACGCCCUUCGGGGCUUCUUGGUGAUUCAUGAUAACUUCACGGAUCGCAUGGCCUUGCGCCGGCGACGGUUCAUUCAAAUUUCUGCCCUAUCAACUUUCGAUGGUAAGGUAUUGGCUUACCAUGGUUUCAACGGGUAACGGGGAAUUAGGGUUCGAUUCCGGAGAGGGAGCCUGAGAAACGGCUACCACAUCCAAGGAAGGCAGCAGGCGCGCAAAUUACCCAAUCCCGACACGGGGAGGUAGUGACAAUAAAUACUGAUACAGGGCUCUUUUGGGUCUUGUAAUUGGAAUGAGUACAAUUUAAACCUCUUAACGAGGAACAAUUGGAGGGCAAGUCUGGUGCCAGCAGCCGCGGUAAUCCCAGCUCCAAUAGCGUAUAUUAAAGUUGUUGCAGUUAAAAAGCUCGUAGUUGAAACUUGG
rnacentral:rRNA from 1 species